UACGAAGGGGGGCUAGCGUUACUCGGAAUUACUGGGCGUAAAGGGCGCGUAGGCGGCGUUCCAAGUUAGGCGUGAAAGUCCUGGGCUCAACCUGGGAACUGCGCUUAAGACUGGAAUGCUAGAGGAUGGAAGAGGGUUGUGGAAUUCCCCAGUGUAGAGGUGAAAUUCGUAGAUAUUGGGAAGAACACCGGUGGCGAAGGCGGCAACCUGGUCCAUUUCUGACGCUGAGGCGCGAUAGCGUGGGGGAGCAAACAGG
rnacentral:rRNA from 1 species